GGUUCCUCGCCUCCGAGAGGCUUCAAAGGGAUCAAUUGCCGAACCUUUCAGUCUGGUGUGGCUAUUCUGCCGUCGCCUCCCACGAAAGAUUUCUUUUUUAAUGGCUAUUCGGAACCCAAAUCUCCUGUCUAUUAUUCGGAACCUCCCAAAAGAAGUAGGAGGACCAAACCCAUCCCUAUUAACCCCGUGCCGACUCCUAAAGAAGCCACCUUUGCCGAUGACUUUUCAUGCUCUGAGCUGUGGGCUGGGCCUGCCUACUCGAACUCACCCCCUCCUAGUUCGUUGCCCAUC
rnacentral:lncRNA from 1 species